rnacentral:lncRNA from 1 species
AUUUAGGAUUUAGGAUUUGAUUUAGGAUUUAGGAUUUGAUUAAGGUUUUGUUUAGGAUUUGGUUAGGAUUUUAUUUAGGAUUUAGGAUUUGGUUAAGAUUUGAUUUAGGAUUUAGGGUUUGGUUAGGAAUUGAUUUAGGAUUUAGAGUUUGGAUUAGGAUUUAGUUUAGGAUUUAAGAUUUGGUUAGGGUUUGGUUUAGGGUUUAGGAUUUGGAUUAGGAUUUAGUUUAGGAUUUAAGAUUUGGUUAGGGUUUGGUUUAGGGUUUAGGAUUUGGAUUAGGAUUUAGUUUAGGGUUUGGUUAAGAUUUGAUUUAGGGUUUAGGAUUUGGUUAGAGUUUGAUUUAAGAUUUAGAGUUUGGAUUAGGAUUUGGUUUAGGGUUUAGGAUUUGGAUUAGGAUUUGGUUAGGGUUUGAUUUAGGAUUUAGGAUUUGAUUUAGGAUUUGGUUAGGAUUUGGUUUAGGAUUUGGUUGAGAUUUGGUUUAAGGUUUGUUUAGGAUUUGAUUUUGGAUUUAGGAUUUUAUUAGAAUUUAAGAUUCAAUUAGUUUUGGCCUAAAGUUUGAAUGAAGUUCAAUAGGAUUUUAACUAGAAUUAAAUUAAGAUUGAAUUGAAAUGUAUUUGAGUGAUAUUUGUGUUCUUUCUAAUGUUUCCUUAAGAAUUCUUAUUGUUUGUUUGAAAUUUCUUUGAGGUUUUUUUUUAAUUUGAUUAAGCUUGCUUAGCAUUAUUAUAGUCUA